rnacentral:misc_RNA from 1 species
UACAGAGGUCCCAAGCGUUGUUCGGAAUCACUGGGCUUAAAGGGCGCGUAGGCGGUCUGCCAAGUCGGGGGUGAAAUCUUUCGGCUUAACCGGAAAAGAGCCUUCGAUACUGGCAGUCUAGAGGGAGGUGGGGGCAGCUGGAACUUCCGGUGGAGCGGUGAAAUGUGUUGAUAUCGGAAGGAACGCCGGUGGCGAAAGCGAGCUGCUGGAUCUCUACUGACGCUGAGGCGCGAAAGCCAGGGGAGCAAACGGG